rnacentral:rRNA from 1 species
GAUGAACGCUGGCGGCGUGCCUAAUACAUGCAAGUCGAGCGAACGGACGAGAAUCUUGCUUCUCUGAUGUUAGCGGCGGACGGGUGAGUAACACGUGGAUAACCUACCUAUAAGACUGGGAUAACUUCGGGAAACCGGAGCUAAUACCGGAUGAUCUUUUGAACCGCAUGGUUCAAAAGUGAAUGACGGUCUUGCGGUCACUUAUCGAUGGAUCCGCGCUGCAUUAGCUAGUUGGUAAGGUAACGGCUUACCAAGGCAACGAUGCAUAGCCGACCUGAGAGGGUGAUGGGCCACACUGGAAGUGAGCCGCGGUCCAGACUCCUACGGGAGGCAGCAGUAGGGAAUCGUCCGCAAAGGGGGAAAGCCUGACGGAGCAACGGCGCGUGGGUGAUGAAGGUCUUCGGAUCGUAAAACUCUGUUAUUAGGGAAGAACAUAUGUGUAAGUAACUGUGCACAGUGUGACGGUAGUUAAUCAGAAAGCCACGGCUAACUACGUG